ensembl:lncRNA LINC02401 long intergenic non-protein coding RNA 2401
CCCUUCCCCACCUUGAGUGUACAAUGGAGAGUGCUAGUGUGGUGUCACAUGGUGCAACAUGGCUCAGUGUUGUGUGAAACUAAGAGUCCCUGGUUUCUAGUACGGUGCCUGACAGAUAGAUGACUUUCUUUAUAUGUUGCUGAAGACAGGCAGAGAGGAAGAAAGGAAGAGAGGAUAAAGGGAGGAAUAAACUUGAUAUAAGCAUCUUUGCAUAAUUAACAACUGGGUCAAAUUUUCUUCAUUUCAUUGAGAUUCUUGAUACAAGCCUCUGCUGAUGAAUUGGAUUCCAAAAAGAUAUUGUUGUCCAGGCCACACCAUACGGGACUUACCACUCCCAGUUGCUAACAUCUGCACGUAUUUGCCUGGAGGUCUCCUCUGGUCACCAGAUCCUACUCUGCCUGGGCCACAUGACAAGGUGAUGUGCUGAGGAACAAAAGCCCCCAGGAGUAUCCCUCAAGCAGUGUUGGACUGGAGUUGAGCAGGUCAUGAUCCACAUGAAAAACUGAGGGAAGACAUCCAGGACCUGCUGGAGAGCACAUGGAAAAAAGUUGGGACACAGAAAAGGAAAGCAGCAAGAGUCGGGCAGAGAUUGAUCCCCAAGGAACUUGGAAUACCAUGGGAAAGGUUAAUCGUCCUCGAAGAGAGAGAGAAACAAAAGAAAAAUGAAAAAAGGAAAGAAAUUUUCUCCACAAAGACUCAGAAAAGCUACAAUCCUAAGAAGUCAAAACUAUAAUCGGCUUGAGUUGAAGAAUCCAAGGAUCUUUACAGUUUUGUGACCUGUCCAAGGUUACACAGCUCACCUUUUCAUUUUGCACUGGGCCCAAGUUAUGUAGCCAGCCUGCUUAGAGAUCUCUACUUACCCCAGUUUUCUGAUUUAUAAAACAAAAAUAAUAAUAAUAUUGUUAAAUUAAAUGAAGCCUAAAGCUGCC